rnacentral:rRNA from 1 species
AGAGUUUGAUCAUGGCUCAGAACGAACGCUGGCGGCAGGCCUAACACAUGCAAGUCGAGCGCGCCCUUCGGGGUGAGCGGCGGACGGGUUAGUAACGCGUGGGAAUAUACCCGACACUAAGGAAUAGCCUCUGGAAACGGAGAGUAAUACCUUAUACGCCCUUCGGGGGAAAGAUUUAUCGGUGACGGAUUAGCCCGCGUUAGAUUAGAUAGUUGGUGGGGCAAUGGCCUACCAAGUCUACGAUCUAUAGCUGGUUUUAGAGGAUGAUCAGCAACACUGGGACUGAGACACGGCCCAGACUCCUACGGGAGGCAGCAGUGGGGAAUCUUGGACAAUGGGCGCAAGCCUGAUCCAGCCAUGCCGCGUGAGUGAUGAAGGCCUUAGGGUCGUAAAGCUCUUUCGCCAGAGAUGAUAAUGACAGUAUCUGGUAAAGAAACCCCGGCUAACUCCGUGCCAGCAGCCGCGGUAAUACGGAGGGGGUUAGCGUUGUUCGGAAUUACUGGGCGUAAAGCGCGCGUAGGCGGAUUAGUAAGUUAGAGGUGAAAUCCCGGGGCUCAACCCCGGAACUGCCUUUAAUACUGCUAGUCUUGAGUUCGAGAGAGGUGAGUGGAAUUCCGAGUGUAGAGGUGAAAUUCGUAGAUAUUCGGANGAACACCAGUGGCGAAGGCGGCUCACUGGCUCGAUACUGACGCUGA